AUUGAACGCUGGCGGCAGGCCUAACACAUGCAAGUCGAGCGAGCGGCGGACGGGUGAGUAAUGUAUGGGGACUGCCCGAUAGAGGGGGAUAACUACUGGAAACGGUGGCUAAUACCGCAUACUAUCGGAUAACCCAUAUGGGAUUAGCUAGUAGGUGGGGUAAAGGCUCACCUAGGCGACGAUCUCUAGCUGGUCUGAGGGGAUGAUAGGCAAAACUGGAACGGAGAAACGGCCCAGACUCCAACGGAGGCAGAAGUGGGGAAUAUUGGACAAGGGGCGAAAGCCGGAGGCAGCCAUGCCGCGGGUAUGAAGAAGGCCUUAGGGUGGAAAAGUACUUUCAGCGGGGAGGCGUUACCCGCAGAAGAAGCACCGGCUAACUCCGUGCCAGCAGCCGCGGUAAUUC
rnacentral:rRNA from 1 species